UGAUCUUCUCUUGUAUUUUCUACACUUUUUGGUUCUCAAAGUUUGUAACUUUUUUGUGUUUUUACUUUUUUACUCUGUUGGGUUCUCAAAGAUUGUAGCUUUAUUGUGUUUGCUUGCCAAAGAUUGUAAUUUUUUGUGUUUUAUGUGCCCAAAAUUGUAAUUUUUUGCUUUUUUUUAGUUGCUAAAGAUUCUAGCUUUUUUCUAUUGGUUGUAGAAGAUUCAAGUUUAUUAUCCUGUUUUCAAAUUCUCAAAAAAACUUUUUUCUCUCUACCCCAUUAAAAUCUUGCAAACCCCACAAUUCCCAACACUUUUUAGUCUUUUGGGUUUUCAAAGAUUGUAAUUAUAUUGUGUUUGGUUGCCAAAGAUUGUAAUUUUUUGUGUUUUAUUUGCCAAAAAUGAUUCAAGUAUUUUUGUUUCAAGAAUGGGAAGUAACGGAAACAGUUGGGCGGAUCAAUGGGGCAGUCAAAACGACGUCGUUGAUGAAGAUUAUGGGAGCAAGGGAAAAAACAGUGGCGGAAAGAAGAUGGAAAAGGUGACGGCGGUAGCAUCGACGAGUUUCAACAAGGCGAAAUCUGUGGCAGUUGUGGGUGCUGACAAGGCAAAAUCUGCAGCGGUUGUGGGUGCAAAGAAGGUGAAGAGUGGAACUUCUUUUGGGUUUAAAU